rnacentral:rRNA from 1 species
AAAGGUUAGCGGCGGACGGGUGAGUAACACGUGGGUAACCUGCCUGUAAGACUGGGAUAACUCCGGGAAACCGGGGCUAAUACCGGAUGCUUGAUUGAACCGCAUGGUUCAAUCAUAAAAGGUGGCUUCGGCUACCACUUACAGAUGGACCCGCGGCGCAUUAGCUAGUUGGUGAGGUAACGGCUCACCAAGGCAACGAUGCGUAGCCGACCUGAGAGGGUGAUCGGCCACACUGGGACUGAGACACGGCCCAGACUCCUACGGGAGGCAGCAGUAGGGAAUCUUCCGCAAUGGACGAAAGUCUGACGGAGCAACGCCGCGUGAGUGAUGAAGGUUUUCGGAUCGUAAAACUCUGUUGUUAGGGAAGAACAAGUACCGUUCGAAUAGGGCGGUACCUUGACGGUACCUAACCAGAAAGCCACGGCUAACUACGUGCCAGCAGCCGCGGUAAUACGUAGGUGGCAAGCGUUGUCCGGAAUUAUUGGGCGUAAAGCGCGCGCAGGCGGUUCUUUAAGUCUGAUGUGAAAGCCCCCGGCUCAACCGGGGAGGGUCAUUGGAAACUGGGGAACUUGAGUGCAGAAGAGGAGAGUGGAAUUCCACGUGUAGCGGUGAAAUGCGUAGAGAUGUGGAGGAACACCAGUGGCGAAGGCGACUCUCUGGUCUGUAACUGACGCUGAGGCGCGAAAGCGUGGGGAGCGAACAGGAUUAGAUACCCUGGUAGUCCACGCCGUAAACGAUGAGUGCUAAGUGUUAGAGGGUUUCCGCCCUUUAGUGCUGCAGCAAACGCAUUAAGCACUCCGCCUGGGGAGUACGGUCGCAAGACUGAAACUCAAAGGAAUUGACGGGGGCCCGCACAAGCGGUGGAGCAUGUGGUUUAAUUCGAAGCAACGCGAAGAACCUUACCAGGUCUUGACAUCCUCUGACAACCCUAGAGAUAGGGCGUCCCCUUCGGGGGCAGAGUGACAGGUGGUGCAUGGUUGUCGUCACCUCCUGUCCUGAAAUGUUGGGUUAAGUCCCGCAACGAGCGCAACCCUUGAUCUUAGUUGCCAGCAUUCAGUUGGGCACUCUAAGGUGACUGCCGGUGACAAACCGGAAGAAGGGGGGGGAUGACGUCAAAUCAUCAUGCCCCUUAUGACCUGGGCUAC